CUUCACUGUACCACUCAUCUGCUUGUCUUUCUGCUUGUCAGAUAUCAACCUGGUGAAGUUAGAGCAUUCGGGAUGAUUGCUGGAGGCUCUGGCAUUACACUAAUGUUCCAAAUACUAACUUCUUGCUUCUACUCAAGCAAGGGAAUAUUGGUGUUCUGAAGAUUCUGAUAAUGGCGACAUCAAUUUGAACCGCAGUUGAUGUACAUCUAUCACACUGUUUUUAUUUUAUUUUUUGUACAUUCCACUGUACGUUCCAACUUGUUUGUAAUUCAAAUCUGGAAAACUUCUCUUGGUUCA